rnacentral:misc_RNA from 1 species
AAGUCGUAACAAGGUCUCCGUAGGUGAACCUGCGGAGGGAUCAUUAACACUAUUUGAUCUUGGUUUGAUAAUGGGAGUCAAAUCCUAUUGCCUUAUCAGGAUUCAAAUUUCCACACACCGGUUGCACUCGGUUACUUCGGUAGCCAAUAAAAACUAUUUCAGAGGUAAGGUGACGAUGCGACGAAGUGAGCCUUACAACUUACCACUUGGUCCCUCUUUCGCUAGCUGACGGGUAUGGGAUCUUGGGUUCGACCAGGCAGCAACUCUCCGUCCUCUGAGGUGGUUCAUUUUUUUGGGGAUGUAACACUUCAUACAUCUCGGCCCCCCUUGCCAACCAAACCUGUACGCCAAUGAACUGAUUCGAGAUCACUGUAAAAGGUUUUCUCAUAAUUCAAUCUAAGCACAACUCUUAGCAACGGAUAUCUUGGUUCUC